CUCGAUACCAUCCCAUUUCUACUACUCUCCUCUUCAGGAGACUUUAAAGGGUCGGGGAAAAAUGAAUUUGAAAAUGAAGGAUCUCCAUUCUCAUACUCCAAAGAAGACCUACUCUCUGCAUCACUCCACCGCGGGACUUGAUCCAAGGUCACAACAAAGUCCACAUUGUCAGUUGGGACUCCCCCCAUGGUUGUGGCUGUAGCCACUGUCCGAUACAUUGUAACAGCUCCCAAUCAGAGUCCCUAACAGAAGGUGAGCCCGAAGUCCAGAAAUUGAAACUUUAAUACCCCCAAAUAGAGAACGGAUUCUAUGAUUAAAAUAAGGUAAUUCAAACUAUCCCCGCCCUGAAAUAACAAAAUUAUCACAAUAAAAUCAAUAUUUUGAUAAAAAACGAGAGCUUUAUCACUGAUCAACAACAAAUCUCAAGAUUUUUUAACCUAUUUAUAUUAAUCACCAGUAUCCACCUUCCAAAAAUUCCCCAAUCAUCGAAUCAUCCUUAUGACAUACCAUGAAAAUACAGGAAUAACAAGACAUCCCUAAAUCCUCAUCCGAAAUUUGAUAAAUUAUAAUUAAAAUGCAAUAAAAAAUAAUUAUUUAAGCAGUUACGUCUUGGGAAACCUGAACCUAAAGUCCAAAGUUUUCAUAAAAGAAGUAAACAAUUGACCAAACGAAAUUAAAAUUGGAAGAAACCCAAUACAACUUAGAGUUCGAUUUAUGUAAAUAACAUAACGUACCUGAAUUUCAAAAGCUGAAGAAUCAAAACUGAUCUUUAGCUUAAUUAGGGGUUCUGAUUUGUUUCUGAAAUACAACUAUUAUUGAAGCGGAGCUCAUUUUGGCCAGAAAUGGAUUUGGGUGAAAAAGGAAAUUAUUGUUUUUGGUACAAAAAAGAAUUAUUCGAUUUGUCAUUUUGUGUUGGUUUUUGUUUGACUAAUGAUGUUAGUGGCCCUCUAAUUUUCGGCAUAUUCCGUUUAGGUCCUGUCCUUCCCUGUAGAACUAUUUUUAGAUAAAAUCAAACCAGAUUCAUAUAAAAAUAAUAUAUCUUUGUAUUACGGUUUUAGUCCCUUUACUCUUUUAACUUUUUAUAUAUUUAAUUUGAUCAUUCAAAAUAAAAAUUAUAGUUUAAUUUGAUAUAAUUUUUCUAUUUGCAUAAAUGAAUGGCAUGAUUUUUUCUUAAAAGAACACCUAUCCAAUACAAAAAUAUACAUGUUAGCACAGUGAAUUAAAAGUGCUUUUUAUUAGCCUUUUGUACUAACUAAUAAAUACCAAAUUUUGCCAAAAUAAAAUAUAAUAAUUAAAUUUCAAAUUUGUGCAUAAUAUAGGAUCAAAACUAUAAUUUGACGAAUUUGAUUAAGAAAAAUAAAAAGAAUUCCGGACCCAAAACACAUAUGGUUUACUUCUUAAUGUUCAAUUUUGGCUUUGCAAAUAGAAAUUAAACAGCCUUUUUCUUUUAAUGGUUAGUCUUGAAGGUAAACUUUAUCUACAAAAAAAAUAUUAAAAAGCAUACAAAUUUUCGAUUUAAGGAUGAUUUCCCAUCUUUCAUCCUGCCAUUGUUUUGUAUGGAUUUUGAUGAUUUGAAGAAUGGGUAUGUUUAAACCAAAAGAGGGCUAUAUAUUGCCAUUGCUAUUACAUUUUGUUCUUGCAUGUUGGCUUUGCUUCCCAUUCUUCUUUUAUCUAUAUCCAAGCAAAUUGAAAUGACCAUUUCAUUUGAUUCCAGCCUUUUCCUUCAACAUUGCAAUGAAGUUUUCUUUGUCUUCUGGCGACAUUGCCUCCACUGAACAAUCCCCUACUCCCCACUCCGCCCCACGCAUGCAGUACUUGUCUUGAAUUUCUUGCUUGUUCCUGCAAUUUUGCAAUAAUUUGCAGCAACCUUCACAAUUCUAUCUCAAUGCCUAAUCAUAUAAUGCAAGUUCAAGAAUCUAGAGCUUAAUUCAGUCGGUUCAUGCAAUCUUCCUUUAAAGAUGGUAUUUUGAUACAUCUCAAGUUAGAUUCUCAACAUUGCAAUCCUUCCCCUAUCCCCAUACUAAGGCCUCCUAUACACAAAAUAAUGCAAGUUCAACAUCACAAUUCUACCUCAAUGCCUAAUCAGAUGAUGCAAGUUCAAGAACCUAGAGCUUAAUUCAGUCAGUUCAUGCAAUCACCCUUAUGAGUGGUAUUUUGAAACGUCUCAAGUUAGAGUCUCAACAUUGCAAUCGUUCCCCUAUCCCCAUACUAAGGCCUCCUUUACACGAAAUAUUGCAAGUUCAACAUCACAAUUCUAUCUCAAUGCCUAACCAAAUAAUGUGCUUAGUUGCUUCAUGCAACUAUUCUUAGUAUUCAGUAAAUUUGGGAUUUGAAUCCUGAAAUCUACAACCCUUCCAUAUCGAUAAUGCAACUUCAAUAACUAAUAAGUUACAGUUGGUUCAUGUAAACACCUUUAAGAGACGUAUUUAGUAAAUUUGAUUGGAACAUCUACAACCUCUUUCUAUCCCCGUAUGGAAACAAACACACCCUUUUUUUAUUCUUCCCUCUAGAGACAAGCAGUUCAUAGUAUGAGGAUAAAAGGGAAAAGGGAUUAUAGAUGCUCGGAUUCAAAUUUUAUGUCACUUUUUAAGGCUAUUGCAUGAACCGGAUUUAACGUAAUGCAGUUUAAGUAAGCAAUUUUGAUAGUGAUAUAGGGUAAAGAAAGUGAAUUACUUUUCUUUGUUCUGCUUUGACCGCUCUAACAGCUGCUUCAGCAAGGGAGAUGACUUGAAUCUUGCAUCAGCUUCAGCGUACUUCUUCUGGUUUUCUUCUGCAUAAUCAAAACCCAAUUUUUUUAAGGCCAAUUUUAGAAUUUAAACCACAAAUGUCAACGGAUUACGGUGAGAACGAUAAAUCAAACCAUUGAAGCGAUUUAGGAACUCAAUUUCAGGUAAUUGAGGACCAGGGAUUGAUUCGAUUCCGGGGAAUCCUGAUAACAAUCCAGCUUUGGCUGCAAAAAGAAAAAAAAAACACAGAAGCUCAAGCAAUCAUUUUUUUAACUAUACCUUGGAUUUCAACAAUUUCUAUAGUUAAUUUCUUAUGGAAUUCGAAACAAAUUCACGACCAUACCAUAUCCAACCCAACAAACAAUUUUAUAAACAAAAUCCUAAAAUGAAAAAAAAAAGGAAAAAAGGAAAAAAGGAAAAGAAGAAGCAACUCAAGUUAACCAAGUGGUGAAAUAAACAGUCAACGCAAUGAACUCAAAUUGAAGACAUGGAAGUCUAACAUUAAAUCAUUGAAUAGUGGUACCUGGAAUUGGAGACAGAAGAAUACUAACUGAAGCAGCCAAAGGUACAAAAGACUUGCGUAACACACUGCAAUUCAACGGUAAAUAACAAGAAGAAGAAGAAGAAGAAGAAGAAGAAGAAGAAGAAGAAGUUUUCAAGAUUUUAGUGGAGGUAAUAGAGAUUCUUUCAUCAAAAUAAAUGGGGAGAGAGGAAGCUGUUGAGCAAAUCAUUGUUGGGUUGUUGGCCUUUCUUCGAGAUGAACAAGCUUAAUAAGUAAAGAUAAAGAGGGUUAAAAAAGAAUCCCCCAGGAGCGGCUGAUAUUAGUUUCAAGUCUACAAAUGAAAAUUGACUUUAUGUUUAGGUUAGGAUUGGAUUAAGAUGUAGGUCAUCAUCUCGAUUUAGUAAGUUAACCCAACGAUUUUAUAACCGGACCGGUGGUCGAACCGGCCUUACCACCGGUCCAACCGGUUUACAUACUAAAAAAAAUACUGAAAUAUAUAAAAAGGGGUUUGGCAUGGAGGAAACGGUUCGUUUCAGGCUUUUCAGUAAAAAAAAAGAAAAGAAAAGAAGAAGAUAUUUAAAAUAAUAUAAUGCUGUUACCCACUUCUUUCUUUUUAUAUUAAAAUAAUAUUUCUUUUAAUUGGUUGAAUAUAAAGCUGUGGGUUUUCAUUAAAAUAAUACUAAAAAUGAUUAAUUACUUAAAUAAUAUAAAAUAUAAAAAUGGAUUAUUUUUUAUAAUGUUUUCGAGCUACCUAAAACUUCUCUCACCUUUUAUCAAUAAGUCAAUUAAAGUAAUAUAUAUAUAUAUAUAUAUAUAUAUAUAUUUUUAAGUUAUGUUGUCAACAUAUCAAGUGAUACUCAAAAAAUACUUUUAAAUACAAACCAAAUAAGGUAUCAGGCCACACCAGUAUGAAUUAAGAAAAAGUUGACAUUGAGAGUGUGGCCUCUCUUCUUCCUUCAGAUUUGCUACCUCUCUUGGUUUGUGCCUCUGCUUGCUGGUUGCUGCUGUUUGCUAGCUGUUGCUUCGGCCUCCUUCAUGCCAUUGUCCUCCCUCAGGUUGUCCGCACCUGUCACAAACUCCGUAAAAUGAGCAUACAAGUGCAACAUGUCAAUUAAUCUUGGUCAUGAGUUAGGCUACUUAUCUAGGUUCAAAGGUCCACAUGAAAAGCGAGAGGGUUCAAACAACAAUAUAAGUCCUAAAAAUAGACUUGGAGAAAAAAUAAAACUUAUUUUCUAAAUGGAUCAGGCCUCUAAAGGCCCAACUUGACCCGAAUUUGACUAAUUUUUUUCUUCUGUUGUUUCACGCUGUUAUGUUAUUGUUUUGCUAUCAUUUUGUUAUUAUAUUUAUAUUAUUUUGUUGCUAUUAUUUGUAUAUUGUAUCACUCUUAUUUUAUUGUUAAUUUUAUUAUUAUUUUAGAGGCAUUUACUUGAUAAAUUGAACUAUUUUGAUGUUAUUCAAGUAUAAAAACUUUUUUAAUAUAUUUUUACUUUGUUGGGAAAUAUUUAUUUUAACAUUUUUAGUGUAUUUAAUAUAUUAUACUUUUUAAAUCUAUUUUUAUAUAAAAAAUAAUCUAAAAUGAAGUAAUACGGGCAAGUUAGACUCCGAUUUAGUAUUUUUUAUCUGGACUAAACUUCAGCAAAAUUUUAAACCCAUUUUUUAGUCCGAACAGAAUCGUCACCUAAAAGACAAACUUAAAAUUUUGCAUCAACCCAACCCAUAUGAUAAGGUGUAAUGCCAACAUUUAUUUAUUUUUUAUAUUCUUAAUUUGAAGUUUCUUUGUUUCUUGUUAGUAUUUAUAGAAAGGGAACUUUACUUUCUCUUUCAUUUUGCUAUUUCCAGGCAUGGGAAAUCAAAUUUUUUAUUUAUCGGGUGAAUUGUAUUUGGUAUUGUGUUUGACUGUGUUAUAUUUUCAAAACUGAGACAACGUUUUCAUUUAUGAGCCGGUCACAUUGUCAGAUCCGAUUACUAAAAUGAAUCGGAUUGAGUUCAGUUCAAUGCCCAACCAAUAAAAAUGCAACCUAUAGGCAGAUCGAAGGGGAAGCUGAAACAAAAUAAUUACUCAAAUACUACUAAAGUUUAACUCCAAAAUAUUCCUCACAAGAUGAAGUGAAUAAAGUGAUAUUUUCCCUCCCCCCUAAGUUGCAGAUUUUUCCAGAAAACACACAGUUUUAGUUAGCAGCACAACACACUCCAUCAACGUGCCCAUGGUCAAAUUCAUCCUUCAAGCAUAGCCUUGGCAGCAUCGAUCAGUAUCGAUCUAAAAUCGGUUGAAGCUAGGCCAAGAACAGUAUAUCCUUCUUUGUCUUCUAUGUCCACAUCCGCUCCAUGUCUUAUUAAGAGGAGGGCUACCUGACACCAAAGGAAACAAUUCUGACUAAGAAUACCCUAAGUCCGCAAGAUUUCAUAAGAUGUUCAGGUUUCCCCUAUCUUAAUUUGUGAGUAAUGUAAAUCACCAUAGUAGCAUAGAACUGAUUUUGGUUUUAUCAAAUGUAAAAGCAAUGAUAAAUAGAUGAGGUUCACCAGCCUGAACCUUAAACCUCGGUUUCUCAAGGCUCAGAGAGAGUACCUCCUUGUUUUGGCAAAUAACCGCACUCAUCAGAGGAGUUUGUCCAGCUCUAUCAGUAGCAUCAACUUCUGCCCCUUCCUCAAUCAAGAGUUCACAUAAUGCUGACUUCCCAGUACUAGCUGCCCUAUGCAAUGGGGUGCAUCCUACCUGCAUUUAGUCAUACUAUCAACUGAUGAAAUGGAAAUUAAAAAGAAAGAUACUGCAAAUGGAAAAGGAGAACCAAAAAAAUACAAACAGCCCCCCUAUAUAAGAAAAAAUGAUUUAUGUGUGAAGUUACAAGCCUUGUCCUUUGAAUUAAUCUUUGCACCAUGAGAGAUCAGAAGUUCAGCAAUCUUCAACCAUCCCUUGCUAGCAGCAUAAUGAAGGGCGGUGCGGCCACCAUCAUUUUUCACAUUAACAUUUGCUCCUUCGCAAAAAGUAAAUAAGAAAAUAACAAUACUUAACAUCAGCUGAAUGCAAAAUUUGCACACUCGAGAUAACAAUCAGAGUAAGAACCCUGCUUAUGCUCAAUUAAGAUCCUUAAUAAAGAAACUUACAGGAUAAAAAACAUUUUCCAUAAACCAGCAGGAAGAUUCUCAACCAAUACGUACAUGCACAAACGAAUUCCAUAGAUUUGCAGCUUAUGGAUACUCUGAACAUGCUGAUACAUUAAUCUUCUAAUGUUCCGAUUUUCUAGUACCCCAUUAGGACAUGAUCUUGCAGAAUCGAAAGCUUAAACUAAAAAGAACAGGAUCAAAGAUCUAGUAUGAUUUAUAAGAGCUAGUUUACAAAGUAUUUGAUGUGGUACCAGUUGUAUGCUAAAUUAACACCCUUUAAUGCCUAAUUUACAGCAUAACUUUUCCAUAAACUUAGCUUGAAUAUUCGUAACCAAUUCAAGUACAUACACAUACAUAUAUUCACAACUCAACUCAAAACAACUGAGUUUCCACAUUAGGAUUAAUUUGGAAAAUCAGAAUUAUACAAAUUUCUUACCUUUAUUCAACAGGAUUUCCAUAAUUUCCAAAUUACCAAUGCUGGCGGCUGAGUGAAUGGGAGCCCAACCUUCUUCAUCGAUACCAUUCACAACUGAUUCAUCAGCGGCGGCAGAGAGUAGUUUGACCACCUAAUGCAAAUUGAUUUUUUUCACAUUAACAAAUCAACCCAAUAGAGAUAGGGCAACUCAGGAAAUGGAAGGAAGUAUGGGGUUACCUCAGGGUGGGCGGAGGAGACGGCGACGUGGAGAAGAGAUCGGGCGUCUUCAUUCCGGAGUUUAACAGACUUGGUAAGGUGGUCUUGGGAGAGGGAUUUGAAUAUGGAAGAAUCGCCCUUCUCCGCAGCUUUGAAGAGGUCUUUCUCUUUAAUUUCAACUGACUUAGUUGGAGGAUUAAUUUCCAUGUUUGAAGCGAAAAUUACAGAUAAAAGAAGAAGUAAGGGAAAGAAGAAGGUUAAAGAACAAGAAGAUUCGAAGGGCAGAACUAACAAAGAUAGCGUUUUCCUCUAUUAGUUUUUCGGCUUACUCCGAAGAACACCUACUCUCUGCAUCCAAGGUCACAACAAAGUCCACAUUGUCAGUCGGAACUCCCCCCAUGGUUGUGGCUGUAGCCACUUUCCGAUAAACCGUAACAGCUCCCAAUCAGAGUCCCUAACGGAAGGUUUACCCGAAGUCCAGAAACUCAAACUUUAACACCCCCAAAA
rnacentral:lncRNA from 1 species